GACUCUCGCCAACGGAUAUCUCGGCUCGCAUCGUGAAGAACGUUAGCAAAAGCUUCGCAUAACUUGGUGUGAAUUGCAGAAUCCCGUGAACCAUCGAGUUUUUGAGGACGCAAGUGCGCCCGGCCUCGGUUGAGGGCAGUCUGCUGGGCGUCA
rnacentral:rRNA from 11 species